rnacentral:rRNA from 1 species
GUGCCAGCCGCCGCGGUAAUACCGGCAGCCCGAGUGAUGGCCGAUCUUAUUGGGCCUAAAGCGUCCGUAGCUGGCUGCGCAAGUCCGUCGGGAAAUCCACUCGCCCAACGAGUGGGCGUCCGGCGGAAACUGUGCGGCUUGGGACCGGAAGAUCCGAGGGGUACGUCCGGGGUAGGAGUGAAAUCCCGUAAUCCUGGACGGACCACCGAUGGCGAAAGCACCUCGGAAGGACGGAUCCGACAGUGAGGGACGAAAGCCAGGGUCUCCAACCGGAUUAGAAACCCUAGUAGUCC